rnacentral:rRNA from 1 species
AAGAUUAAGCCAUGCAUGUCUAAGUAUAAGCGAAUAUACAGUGAAACUGCGAAUGGCUCAUUAAAUCAGUUAUCGUUUAUUUGAUAGUACCUUGCUAAUUGGCAUACGCCUGGCAAUUCUAGAGCUAAUACAUGCGCACAAGCCCAACUCACGGAGGGCUGUAUUUAUUAGAUAAAAAUCAACAUCCAAGAUGAUUCAUAAUAACUUUUCGAAUCGCAU